AUAUAUAUAUAUAUAUAUAUAUUAUUAUUAUUAUUAAACUUGCAUUACGUAUUGAUGUUGAGUUCUGAGCGUCCUUACUUUCCUGCCAUUUUACAUACUCGUACAUUCCACGUACUGACAUCAUUAGACCUGCAUCGAUUUAUGAUACAGAUACAGGUGUUAGAGAUCUUCAACAGGCACAUCGUUGAAGAUAUUUUUCAGCUAUUUGGUAGCCAUGGACAUGUCAUUGGCACCAUCUGAUAGUGUUAGAGGCUUCGUAGACAGAGUUUGAUGAUGUAAUUGGAGUAGUUCUCCAAACUACUUCUUCUAAGAUUUAUUUUUAUUUGAUGUUG